rnacentral:rRNA from 1 species
CAAUAGCGUAUAUUUAAGUUGUUGCAGUUAAAAAGCUCGUAGUUGGAUUUCGGUUGAGAGCGGCCGGUCCGCCGUUUGGUGUGCACUGGCUGGUUUCAACUUCCUGUAGAGGACGCGCUUUGGGCUUAACGGUCUGAACGUGGAGUCUACGUGGUUACUUUGAAAAAAUUAGAGUGUUCAAAGCGGGCUUACGCUUGAAUAUUUCAGCAUGGAAUAACACUAUAGGACUCCUGUCCUAUUUCGUUGGUCUCGGGACGGGAGUAAUGAUUAAGAGGAACAGUUGGGGGCAUUCGUAUUUCAUUGUCAGAGGUGAAAUUCUUGGAUUACCGAAAGACAAACUGCUGCGAAAGCGUCUGCCAAGGAUGUUUUCAUUGA